AUCCAGUUGAUGAGUCCCAAAUAGGACUGAAAGAGCGUCCUGGAU
rnacentral:hammerhead_ribozyme from 1 species